rnacentral:rRNA from 1 species
CUACGGGUGGCUGCAGUGGGGAAUAUUGCACAAUGGGCGCAAGCCUGAUGCAGCCAUGCCGCGUGUAUGGAGAAGGCCUUCGGGUUGUAAAGUACUUUCGGCGGGGAGGAAGGGAGUAAAGUUAAUACCUUUGCUCAUUGACGUUACCCGCAGAAGAAGCACCGGCUAACUCCGUGCCAGCAGCCGCGGUAAUACGGAGGGUGCAAGCGUUAAUCGGAAUUACUGGGCGUAAAGCGCACGCAGGCGGUUUGUUAAGUCAGAUGUGAAAUCCCCGGGCUCAACCUGGGAACUGCAUCUGAUACUGGCAAGCUUGAGUCUCGUAGAGGGGGGUAGAAUUUCAGGUGUAGCGGUGAAAUGCGUAGAGAUCUGGAGGAAUACCGGUGGCGAAGGCGGCCCCCUGGACGAAGACUGACGCUCAGGUGCGAAAGCGUGGGGAGCAAACAGGAUUAGAUACCCCCGUAGUC